CCUUUUUGCAAGCUGUAAUUGAAUGGGAGCUCAUUUUGGACCCCAGACCCACCAAGUCAUAGCUAACCGUGUCUCUCUCAGCUCCUUCCUCUGUCUCUCUGUCUCUGUCUCUCUCUCUCUCAAAAAACACAGUUCCCGUAUAAGUUGUCUCCAAAUGUCGUAAUGAUUUAGAGACGCCUUGCUCUUCUUCCUCCUCCACGCGUGCCUGCGUUUCCUCCAUUUCCCAAUUUCUCAAUCUUUCCUGACAAUGAGAUCGAACUCCUAGCCUUUUUCUGUUCUGGGUUUUCAUAUUCAAGCGGUUUGACAGCCUUAAGCCUAGGGGUGAGGGGGUUUGGGUCUGCCAAAAUAAAAAAUAAAAAAUAAAAAAAAGAAAAAAAGUUGUAUUUUUGCGAAGUGGGUUUUUGAGAUCAGACCCCAAUAAUGGCACCCUCGUUUGAUUGGUGGGCAAAGGAGAGCCAUCGAGGUACGCCGGUGGUGGUCAAAAUGGAGAACCCCAACUGGUCCAUGGUUGAGCUAGAGGGUCCGUCAGAGGAUGACUUCCUCAUCACCGAUUCACCGGGUCGUACCCGAGACAAAGGCCGUGGAAAGAACGCCAAGCAGCUCACUUGGGUCCUCCUUCUCAAAGCCCACAGAGCCGCCGGUUGCUUGACCUCCAUUGGCUCCGCAAUGUUCGGUCUCGCCGCCGCAGUACGACGCCGUGUCGCUUCCGGUCGGACAGAUACCGACGCUGAUGCCGAUAACGACAUCCAAACCAGUGGCGACCGAGGAAAUGAAAACCCCACAGUGAAGAGCAGGUUCUAUGGUUGUAUAAAAGUGUUUCUUUGGCUUUCUGUGCUUUUGUUAGGGUUUGAAGUGGCAGCUUAUUUUAAGGGUUGGCAUUUUGGUACACCGCAUUUUCAACUGCAGUCCUUAUGGGCUACGCCAUUUGGGGUUAAGGGUUUCUUCGAUUGGGUUUAUUUGAAGUGGGUUUCCAUUCGGGUGGAGUACCUCGCUCCUCCUCUUCAAUUCCUAGCCAAUGCCUGUAUUGUGCUCUUCCUUAUUCAGAGUGUGGAUAGGCUAAUCCUUUGCUUGGGCUGUUUCUGGAUCCGAUUUAAGAAGAUCAAACCAGUUCCAAAGGAAGGUGUUGUUGAUCUUGAAUCUGGUGAAAAAGAUGGUUUCUUCCCCAUGGUUCUUGUGCAGAUCCCCAUGUGCAAUGAAAAGGAGGUUUAUCAGCAAUCGAUUGCUGCUGUUUGCAAUUUAGACUGGCCUAAAUCGAAAUUGUUAAUUCAAAUUCUUGAUGAUUCGGAUGACCCGACAACACAGCUGCUGAUCAAAGAGGAGGUUCACAAAUGGCAGCAAGAAGGUGCUAACAUUGUCUAUCGGCAUCGGGUUCUUAGAGAUGGUUACAAGGCUGGUAAUCUCAAGUCUGCGAUGAAUUGCAGUUAUGUCAAAGACUACGAGUUCGUUGCCAUUUUUGACGCUGAUUUUCAGCCCAACUCUGAUUUUCUUAAAAGAACAGUCCCACACUUCAAGGAUAACGAAGAACUGGGGCUGGUUCAGGCAAGGUGGUCCUUUGUAAAUAAGGACGAGAACCUACUGACGAGGUUGCAGAAUAUUAAUUUGGCAUUUCACUUCGAGGUAGAACAGCAAGUGAACGGUGUUUUCAUUAAUUUCUUUGGUUUCAAUGGGACGGCCGGUGUGUGGAGGAUAAAGGCUUUGGAAGAUGCUGGUGGUUGGUUAGAAAGGACCACUGUUGAGGACAUGGACAUUGCUGUGCGAGCACACCUUCAUGGAUGGAAAUUCAUCUUCCUCAAUGAUGUUGAGUGCCAGUGUGAAUUACCAGAAUCUUAUGAAGCUUAUAGGAAACAACAACACAGAUGGCAUUCUGGACCCAUGCAGUUGUUUCGCCUCUGUUUGCCUGAUAUCAUCCGGUCCAAGAUCAGCUUCUGGAAGAAAUUCAAUAUGAUAUUUCUCUUCUUUCUUCUCCGGAAACUUAUUUUGCCCUUCUAUUCUUUUACACUUUUUUGCAUUAUUCUCCCAAUGACAAUGUUCAUCCCUGAGGCUGAGCUCCCAGCCUGGGUUGUAUGUUAUAUCCCAGCAACUAUGUCAUUUCUCAAUAUCCUUCCAGCCCCCAAAUCAUUUCCUUUCAUUGUUCCUUACCUUCUAUUUGAGAACACCAUGUCGGUGACCAAGUUUAAUGCCAUGAUCUCUGGGUUAUUCCAGCUUGGUAGUGCAUACGAAUGGGUCGUCACUAAGAAGUCCGGGCGAUCAUCUGAGGGUGAUCUUGUUUCCUUGGUUGAGAAAGAACCAAAGCAUCAAAGGGGGGUCUCAGUACCUGAUCUUGAGGAAAUGAAGGAGGAAAUUCGACAGCAGGAACAGAAGGCUUCUAGAAAGAAGAAGCAUAACAGGAUAUAUACAAAGGAGCUCGCACUGGCUUUCCUUCUUCUAACAGCUUCAGCAAGGAGCCUCCUUUCUGCUCAGGGUAUCCAUUUUUACUUCUUGCUGUUUCAGGGAAUAUCCUUCCUGCUGGUUGGUCUCGACUUGAUUGGUGAGCAGGUUGCUUGAACAGAAAAUGAUAGGACAUUGUAGGGAUUUGUGAAUGAUAUAGAACACCGGUGGUUAUCAUAUCAAAGUCCAUUGAGAAAGAUCUGCCAAGGGGAGGUUGUAGAGGGCCGAGAUUGCUUACAUUCCUGCAUGCCUCCAACCUCUUGACUCCAAAUCUAUUCCUCCCAACAUGAAAACAGUUGUGCUAUAUAUGAACAGAAAGCAGUUCGACAGUCUGAAGACAUAGAGGCCCAAUCAGAAAUGAAUCUGUUCCCCCACACGGCACUUUGGGGUGCUUGGAGCAUAAGAGCAGCAGCCCCUAUCAUUUAGGUUUUGAGUUGCCUUUCGAGGAGAACCAGCGUCUAAAAUCUACUGUAGUAUGUCUAGAACAUCAAAAGGUAAAAAGAUAAAACAAAAAAGAAAAUGCCAGUUUCAUACUAUUGUAGACCUUUCUUCAUUUUAGCAUGCUAUCAUUUUCAUACAUUCACCCAAAAAAAAAAAAAUGCUAUCAUUUUCACACAAGUUUUAAUAUCUAUGUUUUGGUAAGAUAUGUCUUACCAUGUAAAAUAUAUGUAUAUAUAUAUAUAUAUAAUGAAUGGCCAGUGUAACAAUUACAUAUGUUACUGUAAUUGGAAGGUUUAAUGUGUUAAUCAAAGAUGAUUGAAAUUUGCUGCUGUUGACAGCAAUUA